rnacentral:rRNA from 1 species
GUCCACGCCGUAAACGAUGGGUGCUAGCCAUAUCGGGGUGUUGACCCAAAGGUGUGGCGAAGCUAACGCGUUAAGCACCCCGCCUGGGGAGUACGGGUCGCAAGAUUAAAAACUCAAAAGGAAUUGACGGGGGCCCGCGACAAGCGGUGGAGUAUGUGGUUUAAUUCGAAGCAACGCGAAGAACCUUACCUAGCCUUGACAUGCCUGGAAGCCUGAUGAAAGUUGGGUGUGCUCGCAAGAGAGCCAGGACACAGGUGCUGCAUGGCUGUCGC